CCCUCCCCCGGUGCAGCGCAACGCCGCGCGGCCUCUCCCCCGCCACGUGACCCACGGAGAGCGCGCGCGCGCCGCCGAGCGCCGUUCCACGCGACCCGGCGCGCCCGUCCACCCGCUCUCCCUCCACGUGACGGAGGGAGACAAAGACGCUCCCUCGGCACGUGACCAAGGUUUCCCAGCGAGGCGGGGAGCGGGAAGGGGAGUUGGCCCUGCCCACAGAAGGGGAGGUGCUUAGCUCCUCAGGGGGCGGGGCUUCGCGUUCCAGGCGGAACAGCCCUAACUGUUACCUUUUUGGAAAGAUCAACAAUUUGAAACUUCACUUCAAAGUUUUCUUACCACUGCCUCGUUCUCUGGAACAGACGGAUUUAACAUUGUGGGAAGGUUGCCUUGGAUCCAGAAAGGAGACAUGUGCCUGAGAUCCUACUGCAUACACUGACCACUCCUGACCAUAGGCCAGACACACAUUCUCCCUGCAGUACGGCAACUUGGUGGACAGUAGCUGGAAAUAAACGGAGACACAAGUCAACUGAAAAAUAUGUGGGGGAGGAGUGAUUGAACAAAAUCUAAACAUCCCUGAAAUCAUAUUUGAGGAAAUCAUACUCAAGCAGUAACAUGGACUUGGAAACUCUCCUGGAAGAAGGGCCCAGCUUAGACAUUAAAGGUUAGGGAUGUCCAUCAUCUGCAAUGUCUGCAACUUCAGAGUCAACUGCUGGUGUCACCAGCAGUGCUGCAAUUCAACUACAUCACACACUUGCUUUUCUUGAGAUGCUUGCUUCCCAUUUUGUGGACACUCUCCUCUCCACUACCCCAAAUCUAGGCUCACUGAAGGCUGAGACCAAUAGUAAAGGAAAGCUAUAAUCAGCUAGAAAGAAGUGCGAAAGCAGGACUCGUCUCCCUGCAAGACCAACGCUGUUCAGAGUUGACUCAAGAUUGAAAAUAAGCAGCUUUUAAAAGCACCACUGAGGCUGCAGGUGGUUUUGGAUGGAGCUGCACCCACAGUCGAGCCCAAAUCUCCCUCUUUACAUACAGAUGAAUGGUAUCCAAUAUCUAAUGACUACAAAGACAUUUACUAACUGGUAUUAAACCUUACCUACUAAAGGAGCAAAAUCAAGUACUGCGCCUCAUUGUUCAAUGUUGAAGAGAACAUGUUCCUGGAGACU